AACCGAGGAAGUGGGGAUGACGUCAAAUCAUCAUGCCCCUUAUGACCUGGGCUACACACGUGCUACAAUGGUUGGUACAACGAGUUGCGAGUCGGUGACGGCGAGCUAAUCUCUUAAAGCCAAUCUCAGUUCGGAUUGUAGGCUGCAACUCGCCUACAUGAAGUCGGAAUCGCUAGUAAUCGCGGAUCAGCACGCCGCGGUGAAUACGUUCCCGGGCCUU
rnacentral:rRNA from 1 species